rnacentral:rRNA from 1 species
UUUCCGGUUGAUCCUGCCGGAGGUCACCGCUAUUGGAAUUCGCUUUAGCCAUGCAAGUCUAAAGGACUUCGGUCCUUGGCGGACUGCUCAGUAACACGCGGAUAAUCUACCCUCGGGAGGGGGAUAAACUCGGGAAACUGAGUAUAAUACCCCAUAGGUGUAGGAUACUGGAAUGUUCCUACGCUGAAAGUUCCGGCGCCCGAGGAUGAGUCUGUGGCCUAUCAGGCUGUAGUGAGUGUAACGGACUCACUAACCGACGACGGGUACGGGCCUUGAGAGAGGUCGCCCGGAGAUGGACUCUGAGACAUGAGUCCAGGCCCUACGGGGCGCAGCAGGCGCGAAAACUUCACAAUGUGGGCAACCACGAUGAGGGAAUUCCAAGUGCUCAUGCUUUGCAUGUGCUGUUUCUUAGCCUAAGUAGCUGGGAGAGUAAGGGCUGGGUAAGACGGGUGCCAGCCGCCGCGGUAAUACCCGCAGCCCGAGUGGUGAUCGGUUUUAUUGGGCCUAAAGCGUCCGUAGCCUGUCUGGUAAAUCCCUGGGUAAAUCGGGUCGCUCAACGAUUCGAAUUCCGGGGACACUGCCAGACUUGGGACUGGGAGAGGCCAGAGGUACUCCAGGGGUAGGGGUGAAAUCCUGUAAUCCUUGGGGGACCACCAGUGGCGAAGGCGUCUGGCUAGAACGGGUCCGACGGUAAGGGACGAAGCCCUGGGGCACAAACCGGAUUAGAUACCCGGGUAGUCCAGGGUGUAAACGCUGCGAGCUUGGUGUUGGGGGUCCCACGUGGGCGUCCAGUGCCGGAGAGAAGUUGUUAAGCUCGCCGCCUGGGGAGUACGGUCGCAAGACUGAAACUUAAAGGAAUGGCGGGGGAGCACCGCAAUCGGAAUGC